rnacentral:tRNA from 1 species
AGAAAGUUAGUCUAGCAAAGACAGUUGAUUUCGGCUCAACAGACCAUGGUAAAACCCCAUGACUUUCUU